UCGAAUUGGAAUGGGGCCGCAAAUUAUAUCCGUCGACCGGUCCACGGUCGGCGAGCGGCCUCAUGUUUGGUCUGCCACCCACGGCGGGAGAUAUGAAUCAGCCGCGCGGUCCGAUGACUUCGCUGAAAGAGGAGCCGUUAGGUGCGCGCGCCUGGAUGCAACCGGUCAUCGAUCAGAGCAAUUUGGGCAUCGGUCGAGCUCACUUCGAAAAGCAGCCACCGAGUAAUUUGCGUAAAUCAAAUUUUUUCCACUUUGUCAUUGCGUUGUACGAUCGUGCCGGUCAACCAAUUGAAAUCGAACGCACAGCAUUUAUUGGAUUUAUCGAAAAGGAUUCGGAAUCGGAUGCUACCAAAACAAAUAAUGGCAUACAAUAUAGGCUGCAACUGCUCUAUGCGAAUGGUGCGCGCCAAGAGCAGGACAUAUUUGUGCGACUCAUCGAUUCGGUGACAAAGCAGGCGAUUAUUUACGAAGGGCAAGAUAAAAAUCCGGAAAUGUGUCGAGUUCUGUUAACGCAUGAGGUUAUGUGCAGUCGCUGUUGUGAUAAAAAAAGUUGUGGCAACCGCAAUGAGACACCAUCAGAUCCUGUCAUUAUUGAUCGAUUUUUCCUGAAAUUCUUUCUAAAAUGCAAUCAAAAUUGUUUGAAGAACGCCGGCAAUCCAAGAGAUAUGAGACGCUUUCAGGUUGUCAUCUCCACUCAAGUGACCGUUGACGGCCCGCUUUUAGCCAUAUCCGAUAAUAUGUUCGUACAUAACAAUUCGAAACAUGGACGUCGCGCUAAACGCUUGGAUACCACGGAAGGUACAGGAAACUCCUCCCUGUCCUUAACGGGUCACCCACUCGCGCCUGACAGUACCUAUGAUGGUCUCUAUCCACCAUUGCCUGUGGCCACGCCCUGCAUCAAAGCGAUUUCGCCCAGCGAGGGUUGGACUUCUGGCGGCGCCACAGUCAUUAUUGUUGGUGAUAAUUUCUUUGAUGGCCUCCAAGUUGUCUUCGGCACAAUGCUCGUUUGGAGCGAACUGAUUACAUCGCAUGCCAUUCGGGUGCAGACACCACCACGCCACAUACCCGGUGUGGUGGAGGUGACUUUGUCAUACAAAAGCAAACAGUUUUGCAAAGGUUCACCGGGACGUUUUGUUUAUGUUUCCCUGAACGAGCCAACCAUCGAUUAUGGUUUUCAACGCCUACAAAAACUCAUACCACGUCAUCCUGGUGAUCCGGAGAAGUUGCAAAAGGAAAUCAUACUCAAGAGAGCAGCCGACUUAGUUGAAGCCUUGUAUUCGAUGCCAAGAUCUCCCGGCGGCUCAACCGGCUUCAACUCCUACACCGGCCAGCUGGCUGUGAGUGUUCAAGAUACCGCCGGCCAAUGGACCGAGGACGAUUAUCAGCGUGCACAGUCGAGCAGCGUUAGCCCACGUGGCGGUUAUUGCAGUAGCGCUUCUACGCCACACAGUUCGGGCGGCUCUUAUGGCGCUUCGGUGGCCGCUAAUGGUUAUGGACCCACCACCAAUAUGGGUACGUUAUCCUCUUCACCAGGCAGUGUUUUCAACUCCACCAGCAUGUCGUCACCGUGGCAUCAGGCGCUAGUGCAACACCACCACACACAUCCGCACCACUACCAUCAUCAUGCGCACCAGCCGUGGCAUAAUCCAGCUGCCUCAAUUGCAACGGCCGCAGUGUAAAGCGUGAAGCCAGCGAGGUUGUGUUGAGCGAAACGUGAAUCGAAUGAAGCAAAUGGAGUAAGCGGCCUCAGCUUCAAUCCGUUCACAUUACCAACAUGUAAUACCCAAGGUUAUGGCACCAGUCAGCUGGUGACGUCCACUA